rnacentral:rRNA from 1 species
GAUGAACGCUGGCGGCGUGCCUAAUACAUGCAAGUCGAGCGAACAGACGAGGAGCUUGCUCCUCUGACGUUAGCGGCGGACGGGUGAGUAACACGUGGAUAACCUACCUAUAAGACUGGGAUAACUUCGGGAAACCGGAGCUAAUACCGGAUAAUAUAUUGAACCGCAUGGUUCAAUAGUGAAAGACGGUUUUGCUGUCACUUAUAGAUGGAUCCGCGCCGCAUUAGCUAGUUGGUAAGGUAACGGCUUACCAAGGCAACGAUGCGUAGCCGACCUGAGAGGGUGAUCGGCCACACUGGAACUGAGACACGGUCCAGACUCCUACGGGAGGCAGCAGUAGGGAAUCUUCCGCAAAGGGCGAAAGCCUGACGGAGCAACGCCGCGUGAGUGAUGAAGGUCUUCGGACCGUAAAACUCUGUUAUUAGGGAAGAACAAAUGUGUAAGUAACUAUGCACGUCUUGACGGUACCUAAUCAGAAAGCCACGGCUAACUACGUG